rnacentral:rRNA from 1 species
UACGUAGGGGGCAAGCGUUGUCCGGAUUUAUUGGGCGUAAAGAGCUCGUAGGCGGUUUGGUAAGUCAGGUGUGAAAUCUCCACGCUCAACGUGGAGGGGCCACCUGAUACUGCCAUGACUGGAGUCCGGUAGAGGAGUGUGGAAUUCCCGGUGUAGCGGUGAAAUGCGCAGAUAUCGGGAGGAACACCCGUAGCGAAGGCGGUUCUCUGGGACGGUACUGACGCUGAGACGCGAAAGCGUGGGGAGCGAACAGG